AUGUCUUCCUCCUCCGGCAUAUCUCACCCUAGCCUCAGUGGGCAGGUGAUCGAGAAACUCUCCCGCACGAAUUACGUGCUAUGGCGCACACAGAUCACACCACAACUUCGUGGCGCCGGUGUCUUCCAAUAUGUUGAUGGCACCUCGCCGGAGCCGACCAAGCUUCAAGCCGCCAAGGACAAGGACGGCAAGGACACGUUUGUGCCCAACCCUCUCCACCCCAUCUGGGUCCGGGAGGACCAGCAGGUGCUUGGCUUCCUGCUGAGCAACCUCUCCAAAGAGGUGCUCGUCACGGUGACCGCAGUCACCACGGCGCACGCGCUCUGGACGACGCUGGCGGGCAUGUACUCGUCGCAGUCGUUGAGCCGCGUCAACAACAUCCGUACCUCGCUCAUCAACGCGCAGAAGGGCAACCAGUCCGCCGCCGCCUACUUCGCCACCAUGCGCGGUCUCGCGGAUGAGCUCGCGGCGGCGGGCAAACCCGCGGCUGCAACUUCACCAGCUUCUGCCAUGGGAUUUUCUGUGGCAGAAACAGCAGGCACAACAUCUCCGCAUCGUACACGACUACAAAAAGGGGUAACAAAACCUGUAAACUACAAGCAUAUUACAAAAUAUGGUAUGGUAUGUUUUACAGGUGAACCUGGUGAACCCCACAAUCUUGAGGAAGCUUUGAAUGAUGAAAAGUGGAGAAAGGCCAUGAAUGAGGAAUUUGUGGCACUACAGAAGAAUAAAACAUGGCAUUUGGUCCCUCCGCAGAAAGGUAAAAAUCUCAUCGACUGCAAGUGGGUUUUUAGAAUUAAGAGAAAGUCAGAUGGGACCAUUGAUCGGUACAAAGCUAGAUUGGUUGCAAAAGGAUUCAAACAACGGUAUGGCAUAGACUACGAGGACACGUUUAGUCCUGUUGUAAAAGCUGCCACUAUUCGCCUUGUUUUGUCUAUUGUUGUUUCCAGGGUCUGGAGUCUCAGGCAACUAGAUGUACAGAACGCGUUUCUUCAUGGUGUUCUGAAAGAAGAGGUGUACAUGAAGCAACCUCCUGGGUUUGUGAACAAAAUGUUCCUUCUUACAUUUGCAAACUUGACAAAUCAUUGUAUGGGUUGA
rnacentral:rRNA from 1 species